CACGUAGGAGGCGAGCGUUGUCCGGAAUCAUUGGGCGUAAAGAGCGCGCAGGCGGCUUGGCAAGUCGGGUGUGAAAUCCCGGGGCUCAACCCCGGGACUGCAUUCGAUACUGUCAGGCUAGAGGUAGGUAGGGGAGAUCGGAAUUCCUGGUGUAGCGGUGAAAUGCGCAGAUAUCAGGAGGAACACCGGUGGCGAAGGCGCCGCUCUGGGCCGUAACUGACGCUGAGGAGCGAAAGCAUGGGUAGCAAACAGG
rnacentral:rRNA from 1 species